rnacentral:rRNA from 1 species
UACAGAGGGGGGCAAGCGUUGUUCGGAAUUACUGGGCGUAAAGGGCGCGUAGGCGGCCUUCUAAGUCGAACGUGAAAUCCCCGGGCUCAACCCGGGAACUGCGUCCGAUACUGGAAGGCUUGAAUCCGGGAGAGGGAUGUGGAAUUCCAGGUGUAGCGGUGAAAUGCGUAGAUAUCUGGAGGAACACCGGUGGCGAAGGCGGCAUCCUGGACCGGUAUUGACGCUGACUGCGCGAAAGCCAGGGGAGCAAAGCGGGAUAGAA